GAAAGCUGUUUGCAUCUGUUUUAUGGAUUCCAUUUGUUUCCUAUGUUGGGAUUCCAUCAUGUUCCUCAGCUUCUCUCUAGAUUUAUUAGUCAUGUCUUGCACUACAGGCACAAUCUCUGCUGUUAUUGGAGUCACUUUUCUAGAUAAACCAGCCUCACUUGAACUGUCUGAAGAAAAAUACUACCACAAAGAAGAAAGCUACUCCUGUGAACACCUGGAAGACCUGAGGUUCCUCUUCAAAAAAACUCUAGUAAUGCUCUAGGUACAGAUAAAUAAACAGGCACCUGUAUUGAGAUUCCUGUUUUUAAUUAGAUCCAUAAUGUAUAUAAUCUUGCUAAUACUAUGGCUCUCAGGCUUCCUAUAAUUUAUCUAACGUCCCUCUUUGCCUUACUUUCUCCUCCUCAGGAGCAUGGAAUUCUGAUAUGCUUCUUAUAUUUAGGCUCUACAUCCCCAACCUAAUAGUAAUGUUACUCUCCUGACAAAUUCAUCAAGCUUUCUCCCAUCAAACAGUGGCUCAUAUGAACAAAAAAUCUUUUUUCACUGUCUUUUGACAGAUUUUUUUUUUUUUUUUUUUUUGGUACUGGGGAUUGAACUCGGGUCUUUGCGCUUGCGUAGCAGGCGGUGAAACAACUGAGCUAAAUCCCCGGCCCAACAGAUUCUUUUUUCUUCAACCCAGCCAAUGAGGACAAUAACCCAAGGUAGGUGGAGAGCAAAUAAUCCCUCGGAGAUAGGAUCUGUAGCCCCUUUGAGGAGGAAGUAGCUAUAUAAAGAUGGAGACCUCUACUCAACAACUCAUAAAGAAUUAUGGGAAUAUGUGUCUUUCAGGGGGAAAUGAGGCAGGUGACUAGGGAAUGACAAAGCUGACUGGACAAGUAGGCAUAACCUGUUAAUUACAAAAUCCCAAGCACAGGACAGUUUCCAAAGCCCUUCAAGUGAAUGUCCCAUGAGAACUCAAUCAGAUUUUCAAAUGGAUGGCCUAAACCUGAUGCCAUCCUGAGAAGGGGCAAAUACAGAACGACAGUUGACAUUGAAUUUUUUGUUACUGUGUUCUUUCAUGAUAACCUACUCUCAUCCUGUAGAGUGUAUUUAUUUUCCUAUUUUCAUUGGCCCAAUUUCACUCUGCAGAACUUGGCUCUUUUCCCCCUACCUGUAAUAAAUGUAAAAAAAAACCCAUAAUGAACAACUGAAACUCACACUCAGCCCAAGGGUUAGACUAGUAUCAAUAAAUUGUGUCUCCCUAUGUGUUGUUCUCAUGGUCUGAGCGCCCCUUUUGAAUUUUGUAUGUAGCAUUCAUUUUGUUUUUUAAAUCUUAUUUAUAGUGUAAUCAUAUGUAUAUGUAAUAUACCGUUUGGUUUUACUUCCUCACAAUAAUAUGUUACUAAGAUAUAUACAUUUUGUUACAUAUAGCUGGUAUUCAUUUUUCAUUCUUGGAUAAUAUUCAUUUGAGCACACUACAAAUUUUUUAGCCCAUCCUAUCAAUGUAUAUUUAGGUUGUUUUCCUGUUGUUCCUGUGUGCUGUUGUGAAUAACAUUCUUCUAUGUCUUUUUUAUAGGAGUUUCUCUUGGUUAUAUGCUAAUGUACAGAUUGCUAAAUGGUGAUUACUGGCCACUGAGCAAUAACCUGAAUUGAACCAUCUACUUCUCUUGUAAGCAAUAUGGUUCCUCCCACUGUAUGUAUAGACACUGAUUUUAGUUACGGCUGGUUUUUAUUAAGUGAUGUCAAUUAGGCUGACAUGAUUAUCACUUAGUAAGCCCCUAUGGUCACAUUCAUUGGAGAUAAGCUUCUAACAUGUUACUUAGAAUAUUGUUCUAGAAAUUCUGUAAGUAAUUACAUUUUCAAAAUGCUGCUGGCUAAAAAACCUCUCCCCUACUCCCCCCCCCCCCAUACUGGAGAUUGAGUCCAGGGCCUUCAAACUGAGCUACAUCUUUGUCCAGCUCAUUUUUUGUUUCAAGACAGGAUUUCACUAAGUUGCCUAGGCUGCCCUUGAACUUGUGAUCUUGCCUCAGCCUUCCAGAGUGCUGGGAUUACAGGCAUGUACCACUGUACCCAUUCUAUCUUUUUUUUUUUUGUAUGAAGCUUAGAAAGUUUCUGAAAUUUUAGAAAGGUAAAUUAUACUUUAGCCUCACCUAGCCUUCUAUUUUAUGUCCAGGUGUUACGAUUUGUAUCUAGAUGUGCCCCCAGAGCCUCAUGUAGCCAAAGGUGGGAGUUUUGGAAGGUGAUUGGAUCAUUGGAACCAUGAUACUCAUCAAUGGAUUAGUUUACUGAUAAGUUUAUAGUUAAAUGUGAUGUUGGGAGGUAAAGCUUUGUCAAAGGCAGUGACGCUCUGGGGGUGUGGCCUGGAAAGGUAUAGUUCCCUCCCUCCUUUCUCUCUGCUUCCUGCCUGACAUCCCUGAGAUAGGAGAUUAGGGAUAGGGCAGAACCUGUCAAAGAGGAGUAAUCUUUCAGUCGUGAAGAUCCAGGGCACAUGCACAGAACCUAGGAUCCAAAAUGACUGCAGUUCCUGAGCACUGUACUUGGAACCAAUCAGAAAAUGCUAUUUUCAAGUGAGUCUUCGAUAAGACAGUUUAAAUAUGAUGCCAGGCCAAGUGAGGUUUUGAUAGGACAGCUGUCUCAAUGCCUUUUUUUUUUUUGGUACCAGGGAUCGAACUCAGGAACUUGUGCUUGCUCGGCAGGCGCCUGAACCACUGAGCUAAAUCCUCGGCCCCUCAAUGCCUUAUUUACAUGAGAAAGAAGCCAAUCUAGAAUACAAAAAAAAAAAAACUCCUUUCAUUAUCCUCCUGGCCAAGGUAAUGAAUGAACACAUUGCCCUACACUCACUCUGCAUAGUGUACUUUCCACUUUCAAUAAAUGUACAUUCCCACUA